rnacentral:antisense_RNA from 1 species
ACCGACAUCAGCGAUUCGUUCUGCGAACCGUGACCGACCGCCAGGUAAGCGUGCAUCCCCAGCUCUUUCAUCUGCUGUUCGCCGAUGACGCGGGUGAUGACGUUCUUGCUGUAGCUGUCGGCCAGCUGGCGCGCCUGGGAGGCCAGGUAGGCUGCAUUGCAGAUAUUCGGCGGCAUAUUGCCGAGAUCUUUCGC